UACGUAUGGAGCAAGCGUUAUCCGGAUUUACUGGGUGUAAAGGGAGCGCAGGCGGCCUGGCAAGCCUGAUGUGAAAUACCGGGGCCCAACCCCGGGGCUGCAUUGGGAACUGCCAGGCUGGAGUGCCGGAGAGGCAGGCGGAAUUCCUAGUGUAGCGGUGAAAUGCGUAGAUAUUAGGAGGAACACCAGUGGCGAAGGCGGCCUGCUGGACGGUGACUGACGCUGAGGCUCGAAAGCGUGGGGAGCAAACAGG
rnacentral:rRNA from 1 species